rnacentral:lncRNA from 1 species
AUACAUGCAGAAUUAUUAUUUUUAUUAAUGAUAAAAUAAUUAUUUUAAGCAUUAUCAGUGAUGCCUUCAUGUUAUUAGGUAGGUUUGCCAACGAUCGUCGUCAUGCCUCAUCGCCCUCCUCCGACAAUAGCUCCAUCUGCUCUCCUUGUUGGCACAUGCACAUCCUCCUAUCCCUGUCGUUCACACACGUGUAUUGGUACCUCGCUUUCACUAGCACGCACGUGUAUUGGUACCUCGCUUUCACUAGCUUCCCCACUUCUAGGCAACCAUGUCAAAGACCUCUGCGAUUCGUAAGAA